rnacentral:rRNA from 1 species
GCGCGAAAACUUUACAAUGCGGGAAACCGUGAUAAGGGAACUCUGAGUGCCCGUUAAAUCGGGCUGUCCAUCAGUUUAAAAAACUGGUGAAGAAAGGGCCGGGCAAGACCGGUGCCAGCCGCCGCGGUAAUACCGGCGGCUCGAGUGGUGGCCACUAUUACUGGGCUUAAAGCGUUCGUAGCUGGUUUGUUAAGUCUCUGGGGAAAUCUUCCGGCUUAACCGGAAGGCGUCUCAGGGAUACUGGCAGACUAGGGACCGGAAGAGGUGAGAGGUACUCCAGGGGUAGGAGUGAAAUCCUGUAAUCCUUGGGGGACCACCUGUGGCGAAGGCGUCUCACCAGGACGGCUCCGACAGUGAGGGACGAAAGCUGGGGGAGCAAACCGGAUUAGAUACCCGGGUAGUCCCAGCCGUAAACGAUGUGCGUUAGGUGUAUCGGUGACCACGAGUCACCGAGGUGCCGAAGAGAAAUCGUGAAACGUACCGCCUGGGAAGUACGGUCGCAAGGCUGAAACUUAAAGGAAUUGGCGGGGGAGCAC